UCCCUCGUGCUCCUCGAGCCCCGCGUCCAUCCUCCUCCCCCGCUCUCCACUCCCCACCCUCCCCCCACACAGCCGCCGCCUCUUCCCUUCCCUCCUCAUCUCGAGCCCUUCCCAGCCGACGGAGGAGCCCCCAUCCCAAUCCCGCGUCGGAGUUCAGAGGCAGGGGAGGUGUGGAUCGAUGAUGGUGUAGCAAAGAAGAGGAUGGGAGAUCGAGGAGGGAGCGAGCCGUUGCAGAGGAGAUGGGAGAAGGGGGUGCGCGGUGGUGAGGCAUCGGCACCGGAGAAGCAGAUCCGCGGUGCGCGGUGAAGCGGGAUAGGUGACGCCGACCGGCGCUCGCGGGUACGUCCUGCGGGAUGAGGCCGCAGCUCCAGUCUUCUCCCCGCGGUGGUCCACGGCGCUAUCACUGUCGUCCUCAGCAGGAGGAGCGCGGGACGCAGAGGCGGCCGGCUCCGUCCUGCUCUUGUGCCGCCGUACCUCUGCCUUUCUCGUCCGCCGCGCCUCAGGCUAGCAGGUGGACGGCACGGAGAGCUCUCGUCACAAGACACAGGAGGAUGGCUCUCGCCGACGCCGCGCUCUGCUCCUCUCGCCUCUGCCGCGCUCUGCUCCGGCUCGUCCUCGCCGCGCUCUGCUCUGGCUUGUCGUCACCGCGCUCUGCUCCGGCUUGCCACCGAAAAGGUUGUGCUUUCGGUCCAAGGAGACGAUGGGUCGCCGGAUCCGUCGGCCACCCCAUGGACUUCGCCUGGAACGCGGGCUGGGAGGCGGCGCCGCCAGCCUGCAACCCCGACCCCGACCAACCCGGCGCCGCAGAAGGUGGAGGCGGAGUCCAUGAUGCUUGUCUCCGGGCCGCGCGUCGCCGUCUCCGGGCUGAGGCGAGCCGACUGCCGCGCAGUGCCUGCUCUCAUGAAGAUGAAUGUGUCAUGUUCGUCAAUGCCGGUGGGUAUAUCUGAAAAAACUGCAAAGGAAGCAGAAGACAAUGUGCUCCCGAGAGAGAUGCACAAUAUUCAAUACUCUUAUGUCCCGCACAAUGCACCGCACAAGGUCCCUGCUCCCUUCCCUGCUGCAGUGAGGAGACGAGAGAGGAGAUUGCUGGAUCUGGAAAUGGAGGUCAGCACCACCUACAGGACAAGAGCGCCGCUCCUCUCCGACUCUUCAAGUCUCUCAUGCUCUGCUCUUUGCUCUGGCUGAAUUAGAAGGUUAGGUGUGACAAAAAAACUGAAACUUUAUCUCCUAAUAUCCCUCCAUUUUUGCAAAAUCAAAUUUGUGUCAGCUAUGUGACCAAUGAUCAUACACUUGUUUCGAAUAAUCAUACGCUUAUCAAUUUCCACGGACAGGUUAAUGGUGUAUACCUGCUUCUGAGCUGCCAUGCAGAGACUCUGUUAUCUCUUGAAUUUAUCCACUGCCAACUUUAUCCUGCAGUCAUGGAUAAAGUUUGCAUUAGUCUUUGCCAGCCAGGUUCCCAAAACUACAAGUUCUAGUCCUUUUAUUCUGCCUUGGUCCUAAUGUUAAUUUUUCUGCCAUAUGUUAAAUUUUUUGUCAUAUGUAGGCCAACAGAUAACUUGUGUAUGUUCAUCUAGCUGCAAAAGAAACUUAUGACUUGUGUCGUCAGUAAAAAAAAUAGUAGAUAGUUGAAAGGACCAGGCACUGCCAUUUGCUUGCUGUGUUAUACUCUCAAUGAAUCUUAAUUAUUUCUGAUAUGUUUCAGUUAUUUUAUUUCAACAAAUGACAAGACUAAUCUGUCAUUCACAAUGUUUUUGCAGCUAGCAUUAAAAGCUGAUGUGUUUUAUAACAGAGUGACAAAUAUGACUAUUUGGGGAAACCAUUCAACAACUCAGGUUCCUAAUUUCUUGAAUGCCAAAAUUAAUGGGAGGCCAGUAAAAGAAGUCAUCAAAGAUACAAAGUGGCUAGAAGAGGAUUUUCCGAUAACUGUUCAAAAGGUACAUGGAGAAGGUGGUGGUGCCGCCGAGGCUGUUGCUCCCGGUGUUAGAGAGGGCGUCGCUGACCGAUGCCGCCGGCUUGCCCGAGGUGGCCUGCACGUCUUCAUGACCAGCCAUCUCCCCAGGUGAAUCCCUUCCCUUUAGGAAAAUCUAUCUAGCUAAUUUGUUUGUUAGGAUUGCAGAACGUGAAUCUUCCUUAGUCAUCACCAAAUUGACAUGCUCUGACUAACUGAAAAACAACAAAGUAUUGAAUGGUGCUACUCGAAUGGAGUAUGAAAUGAUUUAGUAAUCACUUGUAUGCAAAAAGAGGUGCACAAUUUGAUGUUGUGAGAAUUGAACUGGAACGGAAUUUUCAUGCCUAUGUUUUUUUCCAUGUCGACCUAUCUCCAGUCGUAUGCAGAUCCACAGUGGAUCAAGCGGAAUUGGCACAUUUGCUAUACAGAUUGCAAAGCGCCUUGGAAUCAAGAUUUUUGUCACUGCAGGUUUAUUGGUUCAGAUAGAUACAGUAUAUAUGGUACAAAGUUGUUUUCCGGAAGCAACUCUGUUAUGCCGCUCUAGAAAGCCAAAGAGAAACUAACCGCUUGCGACGUUUAAGGUGUGGAUAUAUGCAGAAACUACAAAACCUUUGUAGCACGUAUCGAAGAAGAAACUAAUGGAAAUGGUAUUAUCCUGCCAUCCUCUUGUGACGCUUGAUGCCCUGAUGCAAAAGUAAAAUAAAAUUAUUUGGCUUUACCAAGUUAUACCCGUCAAUUUCAUAUACAUUAUAACUGUAAUAUGUGGAAUAUCUCUACAAGACCUUGAUGUCAUUCUGGACAACGUAGGCAGAUCUUACCUCCAAGGCACUCUGGAUAGCUUAGCAGUUGAUGGUAGACUUUUCAUCGUUGGUUUCAUGUGAGGCGCUGUAAUUGAAGUGAACCUGCAGGCGAUGCUUGCCCGAAGACCGCCUGUACAAGCAUCUCGCACAAUGUAUUCAGAGAGAUGCUGCCACUGGUGAUACAUCUGUGCGAAGCCAGAUCCAGAAUGAGUCGACAGAGUUGGGAAUAGCGAUACAACAUCUGGGGGCUAUGCUUUUGAGCUUGGACGGACAAUGAUGACGCUUAGAAUGGGGCCAUCUCCUGUAUGCAUUUUUCUACUAUGUCACUAUCACACAAGUGAUUCACAAGGUUUAAGUAUUCUUAUAGCUUUUUUAUUUUGUAGGCUAAUGUUUUUGUAAAUGCUGGGCAUGCUGCUUAUACAAACCCCACUGGACCAAGUCCAAUCAUGGUUCAGGCUACCUGUAUAGCUUUGCUUUCCUAUCAUGAACUGCUGACAACUUUGUUUUGGGCUAUCAUGCUAGCAUGCACUGUAACAUAUAUCACUAUGUAUUAACAUGCUACCUAAGUAUCUAUUUCUUUAUACAUUAAGGAUCUUAUUAUCAGUCCUUAAACAAAUUUUACGUGCAUGAUUUGAAUGCUUGGUUUGCUGUCGCCCUUUGCACCAUCGGCGCAACGGGUGGUUAGCUGCUUUUUUAUGUGUGAGAAUGUUAGGAAUGUUUCUAUAUGUGCCCAGAUUUAUUUGGUGUGCCUGCUAUGUUUCACUUUCACUGCUCUUUGUUGAAUAAAUUGAGAAAUUCUUGAUUCUUUUUAUGUUAUUUCUUUACAUGAAGGAUCCAGAUUAAAAUCUAAUGUGUUAUUCUUGCUGGCUUAGUUUAAACAAAUGCAUUUUAGAUCACCUACUUCUCAGUUCAUGAUUUUUGAUUCGGUGUGUUGCAGCUGAUUACCGGAACACACUCACCCAAAGUGUCGAUCUACAUCCAUACAUAAUUUACUAAAAGAAAUUUUUUUUAGUUGUUUCUGCAUAGGCCUCUUGGUAUUUACUAGGUCACCUUCGAGAUUCGUUAACUAACAUACAUAUCCUAUCUACGCUUUUCACAUCCAUAUAAUGAUGCCAUGUUUUUCCUUUUGAGUAGACGAUUCUUUAUUUAUUAACCUAUACAUCAAUAUGUUGUUUCCAUUGAUCUCAUAGUACUUUUUUGUGUGUUUCUUUAUCUUGGGCUGAAAACUUAUUGUCGGUUCAAGCUAUUUUUAAGUCAUGUAUACUAUGGAAGUUGUGUAAAAGAACGUUUACUGAAAUGUUAUGUAAAACCUAUGGCUCAAAGCUAAGCUUCGGUAAAUUGGAAUAUUUAUAGAUAUAUUUGGGAGUUUCAUUAGAUUAAUCUGGAAUUUCAAACUAAUCCAUUUAAUUAUUUGAGAGCACCAGCAACACAAUUUUUGAAAAAAAAACAUGCCCACCAAACGAAGGGCAUGGCUAUGUUGUCCAUUUAUGCAAAUCUCUAGGAAGGAGAAACCCUCAAGAACUGCUAGGAAGGAGAAAGCCCUCCACGUCUCCGAGCCUGACUAUGCCUCCCUCGCGGCGAGGAUUGCUGUGUCCAACCUGCCGCCAAGUGGCUAGCCGCCAAGUGGAAAUAGUCUGUGUGGCGCUCGUAAAUAGAGAGCAUUCUGGUAGAAAGCUGAAGGAUUAGUGAGACUGACUAAAUUCUGAACAUGUUCCAUGUGAGAGAAAUAACAUGUUGAUUUCAUCUUGAAAUAAUCAUAGCCGAGGGACGAGGUUCGUAACUGAGGGUCAUGUGAAGAGCUGGAGGAAGAAGUUGCGAGGCUUGGAACUCUCCUUGUGAAGGGCUCAGGGACAGCAGUGAGGACUAUGCCUCUUUAGUUGUAAUUGUGAUACUCCUGAUGUGCAAGUAAACACUCCUGUGAUACUCCUUAUGCUACAAUGUUGGUUGUUAGUACAGAGGUGGUGACAUUAUUUGGUUCUUUGGUAUUGAUUUCAUGAUUUGUGGUUAAUACAUGACGUAAUACAAUCCACAUUGCAUUAUAUUUCCA